UCCCUCCAGAUUCCUUACCCACCAGAUCUAAACCCUGGUCUGAGUGGUUACAAAAGGAGGCAAAAUAAAACUGAACCUGACUUCAAUUCUUUCGUGACACGGGCUAGUUUCAAACAAAC